rnacentral:lncRNA from 1 species
AGAAGUGUAGCUAGUCCAGAUAGUGUUGAUGUCUUUAAAUGAAUAACUCCAAAUUACUUGCUAUUAAAUAACUCGAAAAACAAUUAUCUCGUGUUACUACUCGCUGUGUCAAGGAACAAAAAUUGGUAAACACUUCCAAAAAUAAGAAGACUAAGCAAACACAUUUCAGCUAUCAAAGAUUAGAGGACAUGAGCUAUUUUCCAACUCAAGACAGUCCGAAGAAUAGCAACUCCAUGAAUUUGAUAUAGGGAGAUUUUUUGAGCACAUUACUGAAGCAGCAGAGUGCUCUGUUGUAGCCCUACCACCUUGUAAGUCAAUUUGACUGCUCGAGUUUCUUACCUAAUAUCACUAAAAGCAUUAUGAGAACAACUCAAUGAGCUCUAAUUGAAACAGGGGAUAUACUGCACCAGAAUAUGCAAUUCAUGGAUAUCUAACAGAGAAAGUCGACGUCUGUAGCUUUGGG